rnacentral:rRNA from 1 species
UGCGUAGGCGGGCUUGUGCGUCAGGGGUUAAAUCCCACGGCUUAACUGUGGAGCUGCCCUUGAUACGGCAAGUCUUGAGUGUGAGAGAGGAUGGUAGAAUUCCUGGUGUAGCGGUGAAAUGCGUAGAUAUCAGGAGGAAUACCAGUGGCGAAGGCGGCCAUCUGGCUCACUACUGACGCUGAGGCACGAAAGCGUGGGGAGCAAACA